rnacentral:rRNA from 1 species
CCUACGGGAGGCAGCAGUGAGGAAUAUUGGUCAAUGGACGAGAGUCUGAACCAGCCAAGUAGCGUGAAGGAUGACUGCCCUAUGGGUUGUAAACUUCUUUUAUAUGGGAAUAAAAUGUUCCACGUGUGGGAUUUUGUAUGUACCAUAUGAAUAAGGAUCGGCUAACUACGUGCCAGCAGCCGCGGUAAUACGGAGGAUCCGAGCGUUAUCCGGAUUUAUUGGGUUUAAAGGGAGCGUAGGUGGAUUGUUAAGUCAGUUGUGAAAGUUUGCGGCUCAACCGUAAAAUUGCAGUUGAAACUGGCAGUCUUGAGUACAGUAGAGGUGGGCGGAAUUCGUGGCGUAGCGGUGAAAUGCUUAGAUAUCACGAAGAACUCCGAUUGCGAAGGCAGUUCACUGGACUGCAACUGACACUGAGGCUCGAAAGUGUGGGUAUCAAACAGGAUUAGAUACCCGGGUAGUC